CUCGUAGGUGGCCAACUAAGUCAUACGUGAAAUCCCUCGGCUUAACCGGGGAACUGCGUCUGAUACUGGAUGGCUUGAGUUUGGGAGAGGGAUGCGGAAUUCCAGGUGUAGCGGUGAAAUGCGUAGAUAUCUGGAGGAACACCGGUGGCGAAGGCGGCAUCCUGGACCAAUACUGACACUGAGGAGCGAAAGCCAGGGAGCAAACG
rnacentral:rRNA from 1 species